CACCGGGUAAUGCACGGCUCUCAAUUAAACUCUAAUUUGUUAAUAAUUAAUAUAUAAUGUUUAUUGGGCAUACUAAAAUCUGCUCUAGACAUGCAAUAUAGACAAUUAUAGGGGAGCGAUAGACUAGCCACAUCUCAAAUUCUGAACGUACUCCGCUCACAUGGACUGCAUCGUAAUAUUGACCCGCGUUACACGCACUGGAAUUCGUCCUCAUUUACCGCCCACUUGGAAUUAUUGAGGCGAGAAAUGGACGAUGUCUCUAACUUGAAAAUAUCAAAGUUAGAAGAGUCAAAAGACGGGUUGCCGAAACCAGAAACGAUUGAAGAUUUUGAAAGAACGAGCAAUUGGAGUCCUGAAAUAAUUAAUUUAUAAAAGAAAAAUUUUGCUUCCUUCGAAUAUUUUUGAUUACUUUUAAGAACUUGAUGAAAUACACACAGAGAUGGAAUUCAUAACGAAUUUCCUUAUUAUAAGAGCUUUUAUUUAGUUUCCAAAGCAAAAUACACUUUUCAACAUACUAUGCAGAUAACCGGCUAUUGAAAUAAACAUUCAGUUCGCGAGCAUACAUUGUAGUUCAAACAAGCGACAUAUGGCAGAGCUCACAAAAGCAAUUUUGAUUAAUUCAUUGUUAGAUUUAUGAAGUUAAUAAAUCAAUACAAAUUCAAACAACUCCAGUGACCACCGUUUGCAGUUGUCAAUUAUAUUUCAUACUCAAUGUCAAGCGAAAACCCUUCGUACAUAUUAAUUGUACUGUUCAAAACUAUUGUUAAAU